ensembl:lncRNA
AUGGAUUUAGAGGCUAUUUAUGCAAAUGUUGACCGCAGAGAUAUUGAGAGCACAACUGGAUCGCAAAUUCAGAGUCACGGUCAGGAUGAAGGAAAAGAUCUAAAGCGCCGAGGAAGUAGAUGUUUGGUGUUGGUCACAGUGGGUCUCGGGCUCAUUUGUGUUCUUCUGCUGGUCUUCAUCAUACUGCUGUACAUCAACAUCACAGCAGAGAGAGACCUGAUAAAGAGUUACAAGAACAGAGCUGAAGAGUUCAAUCAAACCAUCAACAGCUUACAGGACAAUUGCACUGAUCUAAUGAUUGAAAAACACCAACUGCAGAACAAAUUCAGCUCUUUGAGUCGGAAGAAAGGGAAACUGGAGACCAGAGUCAGAUAUCUCAUUGAUAAGAAAAGCCAGUUACAGAGAGAUUUUAAAUCUUUGAAUAAGAAGGGCCCAGUUUGUUUUUUCAUGUCCACUGAGUUGAAAAUGGAAAAUGGGUGGAUAAUUCAACACUGAAACAAGGGUUUUGGCUUAAUGGUGAGCCGAAUAACCAAGGCGGAAAUAAGGACUGUAUUGAACUGAUGCCUUCAAAUCCUGUCCUGAACAACUGGAAUGAUCUGCAAUGCUCAAUGAAGAGAAAAGGGUUUUGUGAUAAAUAGGAUUCAUCCCACCCUUUUCUGGUUUUACUUCAAAAUAGUGGAUAUUCAUAGGAAAGGAAAAUGUAAAAAUGUCAUUAUUUUUUAUUGCUAUAAUAAACUCAAGGUCAAUAAAACA